GCCAGCAUGGUAUAGUGGUUUGAAUGUUGGACUGUGACUCUGGAGAUCAGAGUUCGAUUCCCUCCUCAGCCA